GCAGCGCAGGUAGCAAUACUGGGCGGCGACCGGCAAACGGGUGCGGAACACGUACACAACCUUCCGAGAAGUGGGGAAUAGCCCAGAGAAAUUUGGAUUAAUACCCCGUAACAUAACGAUGUGGCAUCACAUUGUUAUUAUAGCUUCGGCGCUUCUUGAUGGGUGUGCGGCUGAUUAGAUAGUUGGCGGGGUAACGGCCCACCAAGUCUACGAUCAGUAGCUGAUGUGAGAGCAUGAUCAGCCACACGGGCACUGAGACACGGGCCCGACUCCUACGGGAGGCAGCAGUAAGGAAUAUUGGUCAAUGGACGCAAGUCUGAACCAGCCAUGCCGCGUGAAGGAUUAAGGUCCUCUGGAUUGUAAACUUCUUUUAUCUGGGACGAAAAAAGGCGAUUCUUCGUCACUUGACGGUACCAGAUGAAUAAGCACCGGCUAACUCCGUGCCAGCAGCCGCGGUAAUACGGAGGGUGCAAGCGUUAUCCGGAUUCACUGGGUUUAAAGGGUGCGUAGGCGGGCAGGUAAGUCAGUGGUGAAAUCCUAGAGCUUAACUCUAGAACUGCCAUUGAUACUAUCUGUCUUGAAUAUUGUGGAGGUAAGCGGAAUAUGUCAUGUAGCGGUGAAAUGCUUAGAUAUGACAUAGAACACCUAUUGCGAAGGCAGCUUACUACGCAUAUAUUGACGCUGAGGCACGAAAGCGUGGGGAUCAAACAGGAUUAGAUACCCUGGUAGUC
rnacentral:rRNA from 1 species